UUGCGCCGCAGCGGCCGCCGCUCCGGCCACUCCGCAACCAUGGCGGGCUGCAGGGCGCGGGGCGGAGGGCGGCCCCGCGGCCCCAUGAAUCCUCUCUUCGCCCCCGAGCCGGACUGCACAGACGCUCGGGCACGCGGGGGCCGGUCGAUAGCCCCGCCCCUGCCGCCACCGCCUCCUGCGCUCGCUCCGGCGGGGGAAUCAAGGGGCCGCCGCCGCCGCUAAGGACCAGGCUCGAGGCUGCGCGCCGGGCGCCGCUCCAUCGCCGCCAGCCGGGGCCGCCCCGGGAAGCGCGAACUGGCGCACCAGGGGGUGGUGGAUGGCCUCCCUGGGUGGCCGUCCUCGGGCCCGCCUCGCCACUGACGCCAGAGCCCGCGCCGCAGCAGCAGGGAUGCGGCCAAGAAGAGGCCGGGCGCGAGCCUCCCGGUGCCACCCGGUGAUGGCGAGGGCGGCGGCCGUGGCGCCUACAGACAGCUGGACAAACAUCCCUGCCUUCAAGAGCUCAUGGGAUCACAUUGUAUUGACCCAGUCAGCCUGACUACUCACUAUAUAAUAAGGCUCAUCAUUAUAUGACAGUCCUUAUUAUGGACUAUUUCCUGGCUGGAGUUUGCUCUCAGCCCCUAAAGACUGCUCUUCUUUUGUGUGGAAUCGGACUUCCCUUCUACUAUCAGCUGGAGAACAUUCUGCCUUAAAAUGGUAAUGGAGUUAAAUUAAGGCUACCUGGAUAAUCUCCUUAUCUUAAAGUCAACUGAUUAGUAUCUUAAUUAAUAAUUAUGGAAGAAAAACCUGGGCUAAUAUGAAGAAAGCCACCUGCCUACCCUGUCACAGUCCCAGGUGAAAUUGUGAGAAUAAAUAAUUUCAGAUGAGACCCUUCAACACGAAACAUUGUUGAUUUAUUAUAAUUUUUAAAUUAUAAAAUAUGUGUCUCAAGAAGAUGUCUGUUUUGGAAAAUUAUAUAAGAAAGCUGAAGAGAGAAGAAAUGUUGCACCCAAGUGGGAAUUGUCUUAACAUUAAGGAAGAUAAAAAAUAAAACUUUUAAAUAUAACUUGAAAAAUACUUUUUACUAUUUAAAGUUGAAUCUUUUCCAGAAAGUGUAAAAAUGACCAGUGUAUAGUUAUGAGGAGAACAACUUGUGAAAUAAAGAAAAAUUUCCAGAA